rnacentral:lncRNA from 1 species
AUCCAAAGCGGGGAUGGGGGUGGGGGCGGACGGGGGCGCGAGGAUGGGAUGUGCUUGGGCUACGCCUGGUACACGCUUGUUAUUGGUUGUUAUGGCAGAUUUGAAAUUUCCUUUUUCCUUUUAGUAAUAGAUUAAAAAACCCAACAUUGUCAGCUGAAAUUUAGGUUACCAAAGCGCACUUUUCUUUCGAUUUUUUUUUAAAAAGGUCAUUUUAUACACUGAGCUAUAUAAGCUGUUUUUAAUAUUGGGUUCUAAUGCUUUAAUAUGCCUGUUGUCUUUGUCCAUGGAGUUUUCUUGGCAGGGAUACUGGAGUGGCUUGCCGGUUCCUACUCCAGGAGGAUCACGGUUGGUCAAAACUCUCCACUAUGCCCUGUCCGUCUUGGGUGGCCCUGCAAGGCAUAGCUCAUAGCUUCUCUGAGUUAUUCAAGCCCCUUUGAGAGCUGGACCAUAAAGAAGGCUGAUUGCCGAAGCAUUGAUGCUUUUGAAUUAUGGUGCUGGAGGAGACUCUUGAGAGUCCCAUGGACUGCAAGAAGAUCAAACGCAUCCAUUCUUAAGGAAAUCAGCCCUGAGUGCUCACUGGAAGGACAGAUCCUGAAGCUGAGGCUCCAAUACUUUGGCCACCUCAUGAGAAGAGAAGACUCUCUGGAAAAGACCCUGAUGUUGGGAAAGAUGGAGGGCACAAGGAGAAGGGGACGACAGAGAACAAGAUGGUUGGACAGUGUUCUUGAAGCUACGAACAUGAGUUUGACCAAGCUGCAGGAGGCAGUGGAAGACAGGAGUGCCUGGCGUGCUCUGGUCCAUGGGGCCACGAAGAGUCAGACAUGACUAAACAACUAAACAACAACAAUGCUUUAAUCUGCCCUGGGACUGUAGGAUGAAGAGUGGGUAAUUAAUCAUCAUCAUCAUAACCCAUCCUGGCACUUUAGAAUGAAGAGUGGGUAAACAACAACAACAACAACCACCCAUCCUGGCACUGUAGGAUGAAGAGUGGGCAAUUAAUACUACUACUAACCCAUCCUGGCACUAUAGGAUGAAGAGUAGGGAAAAUACCAACAGCAGCAGCAGCAGCAGCAACAACAACCCAUCCUGGCACUGUAGGAUGAAGAGUGGGUAAUUAAUAAUAAUAUUGUACAAAUCUUUUUCAGUACCCUAAAGUAUUGGGAGGAUGAGAUAUAGGCGCCUUCCCUUUGCUUAAUCACUAGUUUUACUGGGGUACAAUGCCAGCCUCUGCUAAAAGAAUUUGAGUGGUGCUGGUUAGCUGCUUAGCUGCAUUCAGGGGAUUGGUAGUGGUGUGCAAAGCCCUGGGCAAUUUGGGAACAGAAUACCUAAAAUAUUGUUUCAGCCAUUGUAUAUCCAGCUGAGCUUCCUACAGGUAUUGCCACAACAAGAGCUCUAUGAUGUACAAAUCAGGCCUUCAUUGUGGUGGCACCUGCCCUUUGGGACUCCCUCUUGCUGCACAUCAGACAGAUGCUGUCUCUUUUAUCUUUUUGGUGCUCACUGAAGACCUUCCUCUUCCAACAAGACUUUUAAGAAGAUUUAUAUCCCAGCCUUUUUUCUUUAUUGUAUUUUUAAAAAUAUUUUCAUUGCAGAUGAUUUUAUUGUAAAUCAUCCUGGGGUGUUUUAUGGGAAGUGAUUCAUAAAUUAAUGAAUCACAUAAGAAAUGACACUCUGAAAUAGCUAACCUUGUAGAAAAAUACGAGUGCAAAGUUAUUUGCAUUGCUAUUUGUGAAUGAAGUAUCUCAAGUGAACUUGUUUCAUGUUGCACGGACAUUACCGCAACAACCUUGUGGCAUUUACCCUUAUAGGCUGUGGUGUAAUUUCUCUUAAGUGCAGGAAGUAAGUCCCAUUGAACUCAUACAGAGUUCCCUGAACUGUCAUAAAUUCAUAUACAAAUACACAGUUCAUUGAACUGUCAACCACUAACCUUUUACAGGCUGUUACUUGGAACAUACAUGUUUAUUUAGCAAAAUGUAUACACCACUUGAUUGUAACAAAAUAUCCAAGCAGUUUACAAGAAAUAUUAAAUUGUCAGGAAAACAGUUAAAAACAAAUAAUGAAGAACAUUUUAAAACAAAAUCAGCAGUAAACUAAAAAGGGACAUGUCUCUAUAAAAGGUAAAGGUAAAGGACCCCUGACAGUUAAGUCCAGUCGCAGACGACUCUGGGGUUGUGGAGUUCAUCUUGCUUUUAAAGGCCGAGGUAGCUGGUGUUUGUCUGCAGACAGUUUUUCCGGGUCAUGUGGCCAGCAUGACUAAGCCGCUUCUGGCGAAACCAGAGCAGUGCACGGAAACGCCGUUUACCUUCCCACCGGAGCAGUACCUAUAUAUCUACUUGCACUUUUGGCGUGCUUUCGAACUGCUAGGUUGGCAGGAGCAGGGACCGAGCAACAGGAGCUCACCCUGUCACGGGGAUUCAAACCGCCGACCUUCUGAUCGGCAUGCCCAAGAGGCUCAGUGGUUUAGACCACAGCGCCACCUUGCCUAAACAAAAAUGUUCCAAGCAGGCGCCAAAAAGAAUACAGAGAAGGUGCUGACCUGAUGUCAAUAGGCAGGAAGUUCCGAAGUGUAGAUGUUGCUACUCUGUAGCAAAGGGAAGUGCCACUGCUGUGGCUGCUGCAGUGGCAGUAGUGGCAUCUUCCACUGCUGCCAUCCUUGUUGAGAAAGGGGCCUGCAGUGAAGCAGGUUUGCUGCUGCUGCUCACCAACUGCAGUGAGAUUGCUCUGGACGGUGCAGACAAGUUUGACCCCUUCCUGCUGCGGAGUUGGUGAGGCAUGCAGCUGUAGCUGUCAUGGCAGCUGUGGGUGGAAGACAGGAGGCUGUGAAGAGCACCUGACCUCAGCACAGCUGCAGGAUCCACCCUACUUAGCCCAUCCGUGCCAUGCUGUGACUUCCUUCUUCCCCCCCAACCCCUACCUCAGCUGUAUGACACUAGUCCUGAAAAGUGGACCUCUCCACCUUUUCCAACAGGAGGAGCAUCAGCUCAUAGGAGACAAGCAGAUCAGCACUGGACACACACACACUGCCCCAUGCAUCUACUAGAAGUGCAUCUGGGUCCUAAUAGAUCAUUGCUUCUAUUUUGUCUUUUGUAAUACAGUGGUACCUCGGGUUACAGACUCAGUUCGUUCCAGAGGUCCGUUCUUAACCCGAAACCGUUCUUAACCUGAGGCGCACUUUUGCUAAUGGGGCUUACUGCUGCCGGCACGCUGUUGGCGCACGAUUUCUGUUCUCAUCCUGGGGCAAAGUUCUCAACCCGAGGUACUACUUCCGGGUUAGUGGAGUUUGUAACCCGAAGUGUUUGUAACCUGAGGUGUUUGUAACCCAAGGUACCGCUGUACUUAAAAAAUGUUAUCUGUGUGAAGUAUUAAAAUGGCUAUUCUUCAGGGUCUAGCCUUCAUCUCAGAAAAUCAUGAAAUUAAAUAUUUGAAUGGAAGGCAAAUGCAUCUUUAUCUCAGUGGACUGGCAGAGACAGGAAGACAAAAAGCAGUUUUUGACAUAGCUAAAAGCUUGUUUGAGAAAAGGCUUCAUGCUCCAUUUGAACGCAUGUUCCUUUUGCCCCAGUUAAACAGGUUUUUAAAACAAUACAGAAACCAGUUUAUGCAACGGAAAUGUGGGAUAAAUGUACACACCAGAAAAUGCCAUCUGACUGUUGGACAGUUUUCAGCUUUCUGUCCACAACCAAAAUGUCAGUGCAUUCCUUUCCUUCCAGCUCCUCACAAUCACCUACUAUCUAAAUUACCGUACCUACGUUGCUAAAUGUUUUUAUUUAGCUGCAGUUAUUCUGUCAUUAAGUAUGACCAAUCCACUGAAAUGAAAUAAUCUAGAUUGUUUAAACUCUUGUUAGUGAGCCAGCAUGAAGGACUUUGGACCAAAGGUAGGUCCAUAUAUUACAAAUACUCGAGCAAUGUAAUGUUUCCUCUGAAGUAUUCUUUGCUGGACACUUUGGAGAAAGGACAAUGAAGUAAAUUGGCCUGUGAUCAAAUCCAAAAAGUAGCACCAAUCUUCUUCAUUUAAUGGCAUCUAGUGGCAAUUCAUACUUUCCAGAAGUGACCAGGCAAGUGGCGACCUGUCAGGCUAGUCUAUGCAAAAAUGUAAUUUCUUUUCUUUUAUACAUAAAUAACAUUUCCCUCCUAAAGAUGCAUUAAUUAAUCUCGAUCCAUACCUUAUGUAAUGCCACCUGAUUUAAUGCAAAUUAACUGUUCUCAAAGCAAAUUGGAAUCAGAGAACAGCCUGAACAUUUGUUUCUCAUGUUUUCUUUCCUUAUCUGAUCAGACAGCAUUUUCUGUCGUGAUUGUUAAGUGUAGCUAAUUCAAUCCCAAGGCUACAAACUGUGUGCCAGCUUGGACAGAAAGCCUUAAUAUUUUUUGCAGGCCAACCAUAUCUUUGAUUCUUCCCUGUUCUUCUGUAUUUGGAAAGAUUAUAAGAUUUGGUCCAAAAGUUUUUCGUUGAAGGAGAAAGGGGAGAAAAAUAAUGCUAGAAACUACUUGUGUGUUGCAAGAAAAGAGUGUUCAUCUCUCUACAGAAGGGGUGGCCAACCCAUGUUCCAUGGGCCGCAUGCGAUCCCCCAUAGGUUUUGUGGUGCUUCCCCAGGACCCCUCCAAAAUGUGUAAUUUCUCAAAAUAAUUAAUUUUAAAAUUAUUUUUAGCAAAUCCUUUGUUUCCCUUGAUGUGAUGCUAUGAUGUCAAAAGGUUUUUUUUUUGUAGACCCUCAAGAGCACCCCAAUUUUUUAAAAAGUUUCAAAAAAAUUUACAUUUUUUCUUGAUUUCUCCCAUAGGUCCCCCACUGUGAUGCCAAAAUAGUUUUUGUAUCCACCAAGGCCUCUUGUGCCUCAUUUGCUUUGAUUGUUUGCUCUUUUUUUGCUGACCGCUCUUGUGGGUUCGCUGCUGCAAUUAUGUGCUGCCAAAGAGUUUUUGUAACUGCCCCGCCCCCCCAAAAAGUGUAUUUCAAAAAUGACUACACUCACUUUUACACUUUGGACCUGCAAAGUUUGACAUAAGGGAAUUUUAUUAUUGAUUUUUAAAUAAAUUUAAAGC